rnacentral:rRNA from 1 species
AUUGAACGCUGGCGGCAGGCCUAACACAUGCAAGUCGAGCGGAUCUGCGGACGGGUGAGUGCUGCCUAGGAAUCUGCCUGGUAGUGGGCGAUAACGUCCGGAAACGGGCGCUUAUCCCGCAUACUAUCAGAUGAGCUUCGGUGGGCUUAGCUAGUUGGUGGGGUAAAGGCCUACCAAGGCGACGAUCCGUAACUGGUCUGAGAGGAUGAUCAGUCACACUGGAACUGAGACACGGUCCAGACUCCUACGGGAGGCAGCAGUGGGGAAUAUUGGACAAUGGGCGAAAGCCUGAUCCAGCCAUGCCGCGUGUGUGAAGAAGGUCUUCGGAUUGUAAAGCACUUUAAGUUGGGAGGCGUUACCAACAGAAUAAGCAACGGCUAACUUCGUGCCAGCAGCCGCGGUAAUUC